rnacentral:rRNA from 1 species
GAUGAACGCUAGCGGGAGGCCUAACACAUGCAAGCCGAGCGGUAGAGAUUCUUCGGAAUCUUGAGAGCGGCGUACGGGUGCGGAACACGUGUGCAACCUGCCUUUAUCAGGGGGAUAGCCUUUCGAAAGGAAGAUUAAUACCCCAUAAUAUAUUGAAUGGCAUCAUUUGAUAUUGAAAACUCCGGUGGACAGAGAUGGGCACGCGCAAGAUUAGAUAGUUGGUGAGGUAACGGCUCACCAAGUCUACGAUCUUUAGGGGGCCUGAGAGGGUGAUCCCCCACACUGGUACUGAGACACGGACCAGACUCCUACGGGAGGCAGCAGUGAGGAAUAUUGGACAAUGGGUGCGAGCCUGAUCCAGCCAUCCCGCGUGAAGGACGACGGCCCUAUGGGUUGUAAACUUCUUUUGUAUAGGGAUAAACCUAGAUACGUGUAUCUAGCUGAAGGUACUAUACGAAUAAGCACCGGCUAACUCCGUGCCAGCCGCCGCAGUAA